AAUUCUCAAAUCUUUAAUUGUUGUAAUGACGAUUGAAGACUUUGGAUGUGGGAGUCUAUUGCUGGCUUUUACUAGUCAGCUCUCCUUAAAUACAUUAGUGGUUACUGUUCUUCCACUUUGGUGUGAUAAUUAUCUACGCCUAUAAGUGAAGAUGUUAAGUGUAGCUGCCUUCUAACAGUCCGAGUCUUAUUUGGACAAUUUUUGAACU
rnacentral:misc_RNA from 1 species